UGUAAGUGCGGUAACGCAUUCAGCUGACAGAUACUAAUAGGUCGAAGACUUAUCCU
rnacentral:rRNA from 1 species